AUCUACGGUCAUACCACCCUGAAUGUGCCUGGUCUUGUCUGAUCUCGGAAGCUAAGCAGGGUCAGGCCUCGUUAGUACAUGGAUAGUACAAAAUACUGCUCAAUGGAGUAUUUUGGAUU
ensembl:rRNA 5S_rRNA 5S ribosomal RNA